GCCUGAAUCAGUGUGUGUGUUAGUGGAAGCGUCUGGAAAGGCGCGCGAUACAGGGUGACAGCCCCGUACACAAAAAUGCACAUACUGUGAGCUCGAUGAGUAGGGCGGGACACGUGGUAUCCUGUCUGAAUAUGGGGGGACCAUCCUCCAAGGCUAAAUACUCCUGACUGACCGAUAGUGAACCAGUACCGUGAGGGAAAGGCGAAAAGAACCCCGGCGAGGGGAGUGAAAAAGAACCUGAAACCGUGUACGUACAAGCAGUGGGAGCCUCUUAAUGGGGUGACUGCGUACCUUUUGUAUAAUGGGUCAGCGACUUAUAUUCUGUAGCAAGGUUAACCGAAUAGGGGAGCCGAAGGGAAACCGAGUCUUAACUGGGCGUUAAGUUGCAGGGUAUAGACCCGAAACCCGGUGAUCUAGCCAUGGGCAGGUUGAAGGUUGGGUAACACUAACUGGAGGACCGAACCGACUAAUGUUGAAAAAUUAGCGGAUGACUUGUGGCUGGGGGUGAAAGGCCAAUCAAACCGGGAGAUAGCUGGUUCUCCCCGAAAGCUAUUUAGGUAGCGCCUCGUGAAUUCAUCUCCGGGGGUAGAGCACUGUUUCGGCAAGGGGGUCAUCCCGACUUACCAACCCGAUGCAAACUGCGAAUACCGGAGAAUGUUAUCACGGGAGACACACGGCGGGUGCUAACGUCCGUCGUGAAGAGGGAAACAACCCAGACCGCCAGCUAAGGUCCCAAAGUCAUGGUUAAGUGGGAAACGAUGUGGGAAGGCCCAGACAGCCAGGAUGUUGGCUUAGAAGCAGCCAUCAUUUAAAGAAAGCGUAAUAGCUCACUGGUCGAGUCGGCCUGCGCGGAAGAUGUAACGGGGCUAAACCAUGCACCGAAGCUGCGGCAGCGACACUAUGUGUUGUUGGGUAGGGGAGCGUUCUGUAAGCCUGUGAAGGUGUACUGUGAGGUAUGCUGGAGGUAUCAGAAGUGCGAAUGCUGACAUAAGUAACGAUAAAGCGGGUGAAAAGCCCGCUCGCCGGAAGACCAAGGGUUCCUGUCCAACGUUAAUCGGGGCAGGGUGAGUCGACCCCUAAGGCGAGGCCGAAAGGCGUAGUCGAUGGGAAACAGGUUAAUAUUCCUGUACUUGGUGUUACUGCGAAGGGGGGACGGAGAAGGCUAUGUUGGCCGGGCGACGGUUGUCCCGGUUUAAGCGUGUAGGCUGGUUUUCCAGGCAAAUCCGGAAAAUCAAGGCUGAGGCGUGAUGACGAGGCACUACGGUGCUGAAGCGACAAAUGCCCUGCUUCCAGGAAAAGCCUCUAAGCAUCAGGUAACAUCAAAUCGUACCCCAAACCGACACAGGUGGUCAGGUAGAGAAUACCAAGGCGCUUGAGAGAACUCGGGUGAAGGAACUAGGCAAAAUGGUGCCGUAACUUCGGGAGAAGGCACGCUGAUAUGUAGGUGAAGCGACUUGCUCGUGGAGCUGAAAUCAGUCGAAGAUACCAGCUGGCUGCAACUGUUUAUUAAAAACACAGCACUGUGCAAACACGAAAGUGGACGUAUACGGUGUGACGCCUGCCCGGUGCCGGAAGGUUAAUUGAUGGGGUUAGCGGUAACGCGAAGCUCUUGAUCGAAGCCCCGGUAAACGGCGGCCGUAACUAUAACGGUCCUAAGGUAGCGAAAUUCCUUGUCGGGUAAGUUCCGACCUGCACGAAUGGCGUAA
rnacentral:rRNA from 1 species